GUGCUCGAUUCGGCAGCACAUACACAAAAAUUAAAACAAUACAGAAAAGAUUAACAUGGCCCCUGUGUAAGGAUGACAGGCAAAUUUGUGAAGCAUUCCAUAUUUAA